GUUUUUCCUUGGAAAAAGAGAAAAGCAGAGUGAGCCUUGUUAAAGGGAUAGCUGAGACUUGAAGAUAACUCCCUUUUAUAUGAAGGCUUUGUGCAAGGCACUUUACAUGCUUUUUCACUUUUGACUUCACAGCAAUCUGAUGAGAAAUGAACUAUAAGUAUAUGAACUCAUUUUAAAAUGAAGACGUAGGCAUAGAAUCUUGAGGAGACCAUUUCGCUUACUUAACGUCAGUCAAUCUAUAGUUAGGUCAAGAUUCAGUUGUGUUUGAUACCAAUGGAACCCUUCAAGAGCUUGUUAACAUCAGUGUCAAGGCCCCCCAACCCCAGUCACCCUUUGAUGGAGAUACAGUGAGCAAUGAAAUGGCCAUAAACCUGUGGGAGGAAGAAGAGAGAAGGAAAGUCCAUCAAUCCUUGAAUAAAUUAGAGCUAUUUUAAUCCAACGCUUUAGAAAUGGAAAGUCCUACUCCUAUAGAAUAUUGUUUUGCUCACUAUAUUUGUACAAGAAAUGCAUCUCAAAUGCCAUUUUAUUAAAUCCUCAUCACAGAA